rnacentral:misc_RNA from 1 species
UCUACGAGCAUUUCCCUCUUGUGCGGACUCACAAAGCUUUGGAAGAAAUACACCUUCUCCAGCGGCGAGAUUGAAGUAAAGAUCAACGAUGUUGGGGCAGCUAUCGUAGCACUGAGGAGAGCAGAGCUGCUGUGUGAAGCGAGACUCAAGGAGAGAAUCUGAUGAGAUUCCCAGUGAUUUUCUAUCGAGACCACAUGCUUUUAUGCAUUGGUCAGUUUCGAUCCAG